GUUUCUAAAGGAAAUAGUACUCCAUUGAUUUUAGGUGUCACCACUUUCUGGUGCAAAUCCAGAUAGAAACU
rnacentral:tRNA from 1 species